GCGGUGUGGGUGCCGUGGCCGUCGCGAUCGCGGGGUGAGGCGUACUCGUGGGUGGCGCCUGGGGCGCCGGCAUGGAAGCCGCGCUCGAAGCUGCGGGCGCCGAUGAGCUUGCGGUUGCAGAGGGAGGGAGGGAAGUCGACGCCGGGCUCGCAUUCGCCCCGCCAGCGAGCGGGGAUGGGUGGGAGGUUUGCGUCAGAGAAGCUGGGGGAUU
rnacentral:misc_RNA from 1 species